rnacentral:rRNA from 1 species
UACGGGGGGGGCAAGCGUUGUUCGGAAUUACUGGGCGUAAAGGGCGCGUAGGCGGCUUUAUAAGUCGGGGGUGAAAUCCUGGAGCUCAACUCCAGAACUGCCUUCGAUACUGGCGAUCUCGAGUUCGGGAGAGGUGAGUGGAACUGCGAGUGUAGAGGUGAAAUUCGUAGAUAUUCGCAAGAACACCAGUGGCGAAGGCGGCUCACUGGCCCGAUACUGACGCUGAGGUGCGAAAGCGUGGGGAGCAAACAGG